CCUUAUUUGAAAGCAGCUUCACAAGUCUUGCAUCCAUGGAACUUGUGAGUUUUUGGACAGUUUCUGCUUGAAUUUGUUUGCAAGAUGUCAGAAUAGCCUCCCAGAGCUGCUGUUUGGAUGUAAACUGCCUCCCACCUUCAUAGAUCUUUUGCUUGAGGAUGCUCCAAAGGUUCUCAAUACGAUUGAGGUCAGGGGAGGAUGGAGGCCGCACCAGGACUUUCUCUCCUUUUAUCCCAAUAGCAGCCAUUGAUGCAGAGGUAUUCUUUGUAGCAUGAGAUGGUGCAUUGUCAUGCAUGAAGAUGAUUUUAUUACGGAAAGCAUAGUUCUUCCUUCUGUACCAGGGAAGAAAGUGGUCAGUCAGAAACUCCACAUACUUUGCAGAGGUCAUCUUCACACCUUCGGG